UACGUAGGGUCCGAGCGUUGUCCGGAAUUACUGGGCGUAAAGAGCUCGUAGGUGGUUUGUCGCGUUGUUCGUGAAAACUCACAGCUCAACUGUGGGCGUGCGGGCGAUACGGGCAGACUAGAGUACUGCAGGGGAGACUGGAAUUCCUGGUGUAGCGGUGGAAUGCGCAGAUAUCAGGAGGAACACCAGUGGCGAAGGCGGCUACCUGGACUGAGACUGACACUGAGGCGCGAAAGCGUGGGUAGCAAACAGG
rnacentral:rRNA from 1 species